CCUACGGGUGGCUGCAGUGAGGAAUAUUGGUCAAUGGUCGGGAGACUGAACCAGCCAAGCCGCGUGAGGGAGGAAGGUACAGAGUAUCGUAAACCUCUUUUGUCAGGGAACAAAGGCGGGGACGUGUCCCCGGAUGAGUGUACCUGAAGAAAAAGCAUCGGCUAACUCCGUGCCAGCAGCCGCGGUAAUACGGAGGAUGCGAGCGUUAUCCGGAAUUAUUGGGUUUAAAGGGAGCGUAGGCCGCAUGUCAAGUGUGCUGGGAAAUGUCCGGGCUCAACCCGGGCCUUGCAGCGCAAACUGGCGUGCUUGAGUCGGCGAGAAGCAGGCGGAAUGCGUGGUGUAGCGGUGAAAUGCUUAGAUAUGACGCAGAACCCCGAUUGCGAAGGCAGCUUUCUGGAGCGGAACUGACGCUGAGGCACGAAAGCGCGGGUAUCGAACAGGAUUAGAUACCCGGGUAGUC
rnacentral:rRNA from 1 species